GUAUAGAUUCGUUUGAAAUACCUGCCGUGUCUCAUUUUUGCAUUGAGUUCUGACCGACUUAGAAUGUCCUCAUCCAGAAGUACAUGGAUCCUGUUAGCAGUGACCGUCAUCUGCAUCGUUAUUCCACCGACAGUCAAAGGCUCUUUGGUAAUUUCUUAUCCAAGAAUAACAUUCAACAAGCCUGUAGGAGAGAAGCUGCAUCUCAUUUGUAACGUGACAUAUUAUAUAGGGGAUUGUGGUGAAAUUAAAGCCUUUUGGUGUAAACGUCAUGGAAAUGUUGACUGUCAAGAACUGAAAGACGACCAGAUACAUAUUACAGUAGUAUCAGAGAAUAAGGCACAGGAUAAACGCUCAACACAAAGACAGACUGAACUGGAGAUUGAAUCACUUGUGUUGGAUGACGCUGGGUCGUAUCAGUGUAAAGCACAUUGCUGGAAGGGGCAAGCUGCUGUUGGCCAUAUCAUCACACUCAUUGUUAAAGAGGCAGAUAUCACAACAAUGCAGGGAAAUGGAUGCCCAUUCAAGACAGAGGCUUUCUCUGUGAUGUUAUAUUGCAUGAUUACAGUUCUGAUCUUGUGGUGACGUGAUGACUUGAUGGAUGUUUCGAGCGCCUUUCAAUUUGCUAAGUAAAGUAUCUGUAAAAAUAAGCUUUGUUGUUGGCAUGGAAUUUUUUAUUUAUGUUUCAAAAAGGAACUUAACUCUUGAUCAGUUUAAAUGGGAUGUGAAUAAUAAAAUUAACAUUCUGGCCUGAAUGAAGUGUUCAUUACAACCUUGUUACCGCGUUAAGAAGAAAUAGAAGACGGAUGGAUGGAUUGACUUUAUAAAUACUGUUAAACUCUUUAUAAAUGUUAUCUUUAACUAAGAUACUGUAGGCGAAACUUAACAGCACCACUGAUGCUGUUUAAUAUUCUUCUACUUUUUUAGUACUUUUUUUGUUAGUCUUUGAGAAGUAAUGUGCACAUUAUAAAAUGCAAAUUAAGCCAAUACUAUAACAUAAAACAAUGAGAUUUAAAUGGUUUUGAUGCAGAAAAUCCUGGACAAAUGUAAACUUAAUAAGAGUCAACAUGUAGCUGAGUAAAAUACGGUUUCUUCCCAAAUAUUACGGUAUUAUUACAUCACAUGACUUGAGUUGGACUUGAGUCUCGAUAGGCAGGUAUUUCGUACUGAAUUUGAAAAAUGGUUGUAGUAUUCUGUUUUGUUCUGCUCUGUGUUGCACCAUGGUCCUGGAGGAACGGUAUCUCAUUUCACUGUAUUCUGGGUGUAUGGUUGAAAUGACAAUAAAUACCUACUUGACUACUUGA